rnacentral:rRNA from 1 species
CAGCCGCCGCGGUAAUACGGAGGGGGCUAGCGUUGUUCGGAAUUACUGGGCGUAAAGCGUACGUAGGCGGCUUUGUAAGUUAGAGGUGAAAGCCUGGAGCUCAACUCCAGAAUUGCCUUUAAGACUGCAUCGCUUGAACGUCGGAGAGGUGAGUGGAAUUCCGAGUGUAGAGGUGAAAUUCGUAGAUAUUCGGAAGAACACCAGUGGCGAAGGCGGCUCACUGGACGACUGUUGACGCUGAGGUACGAAAGCGUGGGGAGCAAACAGGAUUAGAUACCCCCGUAGUCCCUGUCUCUUAUAC